rnacentral:tRNA from 1 species
GCCCGCGUGGCUCAGUGGUAGAGCAUUUCCUUGGUAAGGAAAAGAUCGUGCGUCCGAUUCGCACCGUGGGCU